rnacentral:rRNA from 1 species
UACGAGGGGGGCAAGCGUUGUUCGGAAUUAUUGGGCGUAAAGGGUGCGUAGGCGGUUUGGUAAGUCUGAUGUGAAAUCUAUGGGCUCAACUCAUAGUCUGCAUCGGAAACUGCCGGGCUUGAGUGUGGGAGAGGUGAGUGGAAUUCCUGGUGUAGCGGUGAAAUGCGUAGAUAUCAGGAGGAACACCUGUGGCGAAAGCGGCUCACUGGACCAUAACUGACACUGAGGCACGAAAGCGUGGGUAGCAAACAGG